GCUCGCGUAGUCUACUUAAGACGUAACACUGAAGAUGUUAAGACAAACCCUGAGAAGUUUCGUGGGCA
rnacentral:tRNA from 1 species